GAGAAACCGGGGCUCACGGCCUGGGCAGCGGGACGGGCGGAGUCGUCCUCACCUGUGCUGGGGACCCUGUGGGAGCAGCAGGCUUCCGAGCACGUGCUGGACCCCGGCGUCUCCGGCUGCACCGAGUGGUCAGGACAUUGAGGCCGGGUCAGGGAGCGUGAGAUACCGGGACGAGCGGGCCCAGGGCUGAGCCCAGCGGCGUCCGGGUGGGCGGUGGCGUUGAGAUGGGAAUUGGGAAUUGCACCGGUGGUCUCAGGAGGAUGGAAAACCCAAGCAGCAGCUGCACCAGGACCGAGGCAAAGGGACCGCAGUUUAACAGAAAACCCAAAACGAGAGCGAGAAAACGGCCAAACACCCGUGCGAGGAGGAAACCCAAGCUCCGCCGAGCGCGGCGGGUCUGUGCCUUCGCUUCGCUUCCAGCCUCUCGCUUCCUUCUGACCCGACCCCGAGUUCUUUCUCCGGACGGUGUCGAGAACCCGGGCGCCGGCUGGGGCUGGAGUCUCGCUGGCCUCGGAGCGCCCCCGAGCCCUCGGGCGACAGCGAGGGAACGCCAGGCCCCCGGACGCGACCCAC
rnacentral:lncRNA from 1 species